rnacentral:rRNA from 1 species
GGACUACUGGGGUUUCUAAUCCCGUUCGCUCCCCUGGCUUUCGCACCUGAGCGUCAGAAACGAGCCAGAACACUGCCUUCGCCAUUGGUGUUCCUCCGGAUAUCUACGCAUUUCACUGCUCCACCCGGAAUUCCGUGUCCCUCUCUCGCUCUCAAGUCUGCCAGUUUUCCUGCACCCUUCCUGGUUAAGCCAGGAAAUGUCAGCACGAACUUAGCAGACCGCCUGCGUGCGCUUUACGCCCAAUAAAUCCGGACAACGCUUGCCCCCUACGUAUUACCGCGGCGGCUGGCAC